AUUGAACGCUGGCGGCAUGCCUAACACAUGCAAGUCGAACGAGCGGCGGACGGGUGAGAUAUGCCUGGGCAUUGCCCACUCGAGGGGGAUAACAGGUGGCACCUACUGCUAAUACCUAAUACGACUGGAUUGCCCAGGUGGGAAUAGCCAGUUGGUUAGGUAAUGGCUCACCAAGGCGACGAUACCUAGCUGGUCUGAGGGGAUGAUCAGCCACACUGGAACUUAGACACGGUCCAGACUCCUACGGGAGGCAGCAGUGGGGAAUCUUGGGCAAUGGGGGAAAGGCUGAUGCAGCCAUGCCGCGUGAGUGAAGAAGGCCUUCGGGUUGUAAAGCACUUUUAGCGAGGAGGCGGUACCCAACGAAGAAGCACCGGCUAACUACGUGCCAGCAGCCGCGGUAAUUC
rnacentral:rRNA from 1 species